CCGUGGCCAGUCAUCCAGUCAUCGCUUGGUGGCACUCGCCGUCGCCGCCGCGUCUGCGUGAAGCCCCGUGCGUCUCCCCUCCGGCUCCGCUUCUCCCCUCGCCGGCGCCGUCGCCGGCGUUCCUCGGCUGCAGAUCCAAUCCCGCGCCCCGCCGAGUGACUCUCCUGAUUCCCUGACGGCCUAUUGAAGAGCUGCCUAGACCACCGCCGCUCGCGACUCGCGAGCGCUGGGGCGCCCGCCGGCGGCCGCCACGCCCUUGUUGGCUAGGCUGCUAGCUCUCUGCCCCUCUCGCCUGUCGGCCUCUACUCCGGCUAACCAGAGCUCCUCCUCCCUUGCUCCCUUGGCUACACGGGAUUUGCGGUCUUAGAAAAUUUCGGUAUAUGAAGUUAGGCACACUCAACAAAAUAUUCCUGACUACACCACUUUUCAAUGCGUUGGCAUAGGACUAGUGGGCUAUGGCGACCCGCGUCCUGUCACAGAACCUGAGAAAGUUGGCUUCGUUCUCACUCCUCAAUCUGUCCCAGAGGGCACCAAUCUCGCCUUCCCCUGAACCUCUCAGGCCUGCUAUUGCUUCAUUUGGGAAAUGCUUAAAUCCCUUUUAUCAGUUUAGUCCUCCAUGGAUGGUUAGAUGGGCUAGCCAUAGCUCAGUCAAUCUAGUUCUAUCUGAUGAUGGGAAACCCAAGUUUGAGAUUGAGGAGGUGGAACCUUCCAAGAAGCGGGGGUAUUUGACAAAGAAGCGAUUGAAGCUUCAGAGGAAGAGGGAAAAGAAGAAGAGGAAAGAGGCCAAUAAAAAUGAUCCACGGCGUAUCAGACCCAAGGGAAAGAAGAUAAAACAGAAAUUUCCUACACCUGAAGCUCGACUCAAAUACAAGAUUGAGAAGGCCAAAUUGAAAGAAGCUAUGUUGGUUGAGAAGUUAAAGAAGUAUGAGAUUGCUAAAGCACAAGGCCCUAUGGCUAAACAAGAUGAUCUUGAUGGCGAGGAAAGAUUUUAUUUGAAGAAGGUUUCUCAAAAAAAGUCAAAUUAUGUCCCUGUUGGAAGGAGAGGAGUCUUUGGUGGUGUUAUUCUAAACAUGCAUUUGCACUGGAAGAAACAUGAGACUGUAAAAGUCAUCUGCAAACCCUGCAAGCCAGGGCAAAUCCAGGAGUACGCAAGUGAGAUAGCCAGACUGAGUGGUGGUAUCCCUAUUAAUACUAUUGGAAAUGACACCAUAGUCUUCUAUCGGGGAAAGAACUAUGUUCAGCCAGAUGUCAUGUCACCAGUCGAUACACUAUCAAAGAAAAAGGCACUUGAAAAAUCAAAAUAUGAACAAUCACUGGAGACAGUGAGGCGUUUUAUUGCCGUGUCUGAAAAAGAGCUUGAACUUUAUUAUCGGCAUAUUGCACUUUAUGGAAACCCACAAUCCCAGAAUGUUGAUCCUGUUUAUUGUGAUGAUAGAAGAGCUGCUUCUCUGAAAAUGGAAGAACCGAGUCAAGGGAAGGACCUAUCGCAUAUGGAUAACGAUGGUUUCUCUGAUAUCACUGAUGCUUCGGAGUCUGACGAAGAAGCUAAUCCUAGUGAAUAUGAUGAUAAUGAUGAUGAGACUGGAGAUAAUAUAGGCACUGUUCUUUAUGAUCAUGGAGGCUUCAAGGUAACAGGGUGAUACCUUGUGUGGCAUCAACUCAUUUGCUGACUACGAAUUGUAUUUUGCAUCUGUCUAGACCCCUAUUCUAUACAUUUGGAUUUCUUGAACAGUUGAAUGGAAACUCCGUGGAUGAUCACCUGUCACCUGCAUUAGCAGUUUCCAUGUUUAUGCUUUAUGGCACUUGGAUCUGAUCCAGACAUCCUGCAGAUGGUAUGAGGCAUGUUGUUGCAAACACUUGGAGACUAAAGGUCUUUAGCUGGAAGAAUUUAAACAAAUGCCAAGUUGUUAGUACUCAACUCCAACAGCAGGAUUGAUCUGCAUUUUGUGGCCAAUAAGACACAUCUUAUGUUCUUAGCUAAUUGUGGUCCAUAAAGCAACGUCGGUUGGUAGAUAUUCUCAGCUUCUAAAAGUAGUUGCUGGCGAGCAGUAUCAUUUUGAGAAAUUAGAGCUGUCGGCAUGAGUAUCACAACAGCAUGUCAUGCACUAAGUACACAAUUAAAUUGCGCUGUUAUCUACUUAUCAUAGAGGAACUGGUUGGGAGUGCCAAACAGAGCACACUUCUUCAUAACAGUGAAUAUGGCUGCAUCACUUUGGAGUCCUUACAGACUGGCCCACCCCCAUGGUCAAAAAGCAAAGUUUGGUGCCUGCAAGACAGUUGUCAAAAGGAUAAAGUAUGCAAUACCAGCGACAGACCAAAGAUACGAUAUGAUGGAUGUACUAGUGAAGAAAGCUUGACCUCACUUUUAGGCCAUCAACGUCUAACCCAGUUGGAUAAUCUCUGAUGAAUAACGAUGUUUCACGUCCAGGUCAGGAUUCGAUGUGAUCAUAAUGAGUAGUUCACACGACACUCACACCUCGUUGAUAGAUCACAAUAUUGUCUUGAAUUUGGCUGCGGUUGCAUCAUUUCUGUUGGGUUUUCUACUCAAGAACAAUGAUUUUGCAGCAUCUGAUUUAUGAACAUGUCAGAGAAAUUUCUACUCAAGAUGUAAUGCGCUUGCAUAAUGCUGCCGUCACUAUCAUUAAAGUUCUCUAAGCUCUAAGUUAUCUGCUAAUUAAGAGAGUUUGAGAUGAGAUCAAGAUAAUACAUGUGAAUCAAUUGACUUUUUUUAGAGGAAGAAAAAUGUUUGCUUUGGAUCA